CGAAGAUGUUCUGACUGUCAGAAAUAUACAUAGAUCCAGCUAGCAACAGACUAAUCCAUCCAAACCUGAUUUCUGACAAGGCGUUCUUCCAUUAGCAAGGGGCCACCUGCUCCAGACCAUGACCCUUGUACCUGACAUAUCAAGACCCACAAAAGGAGAGCAGUUCCUAAGCUUGGACAACACCGUGGUGCUGUAUAUUUAAAUGCCCAAGGACACCUUAAGUAGCACUUACUUCCAUAUAAAUAAGUGGCUUAUUAUGUUCUCUUACAAGAAAUGUAGAUAAGAAAAUGUGUGAAAUACUUAGUAGAUCUUAGCUUGAUGCUAUUCACUGGCAUUGCUCAUUCUCUUUUGUAAUAAAGAGGACCAAGUUCCAUUAAUCAAUUCAAAUACUCUCCAGGUGUUGGGACAAAUUAACCUGUUGGUUCCUGCAGUCAGGGUUCUGAAGCACAGCUGACAUUUGUUGGUUGGUCCAUGACUGACAGCACCAAGAGUUUUUUAUUAUACAUUUGCCCAAAGCUAGCAUGUCUACAAUUUUAUUGAUCAUGUUUCUCUUGGGAAAAUUAAAGCUAUAUAAUUACUUUAAAGUUAAGGAAUAGUUUUCAACUAGCAAUAAUCACGCCUCGGAUUAACCUCAUUGUAUCCAUUAUCAUAAAUGGAAUUUGCUCACCUGCCUUGUGUAGUGGUGAAUAUGCAUUACUAAAACUGAAUUGUUGUAUAAUCAUUAAAAUAGAAACGUUGGAACUAUUCAGGAACUAUUUAGAUUAUUGGAACUAUUUAGAUUAUUCAGUAAACUGAGUAACUUGCAUAGCAACAUCAGACAUUGAGGCAGAUAAAAUAUCUAGUUAAUUAUUUAAUGAAAACUGAGCCAGCUGACAUUGCCACUUUUUGAUUAUGCAGCUAGAGCUCUUUCUCCCCCUCUCAUUUUUUUUUCUUUUUUUUUAAUCUGAAGUUGCUCAUUUGUUUUUUUGACUGGUUGGAAGACACAUAAUUGAGAUUAGGAUGCAAAGUCUGGUUGGCUAAAUUAGACAAAUCAUGGAUUAUAUGAUUGGUAUAGCCUUCCAUGUGAAGGUGAAAAGAGUAUGCUGUCUUAUUAUCUGCAGUCUGAUUUUUGUGAGAAAAGAAAAUCAAUAUAAUUUGAGAACUUCAUUUCAAUCCAGCAACAAAGCUGCAGGUAGAGAGAGGGAGAA